UGCCCAUUAGUUGUAGAUAAUGAAUUAAUGGUGUUACUAAACACCUAAUCAUGUGAUUUUAUCCAAAAAGAAUUAGCUUGGCCUUGGCACUGUGGCUCACACCUAUAAUCCCAGCACUUUGGGAAGCGGAGGCGAGUGCAUUAUGACACCAAGAGAUAGAGACCAUCCUGGCCAACAAGCCACCACUCCACUCAGCUGUUAAACAACUUCUACCUUGAUAACCUGUAUAUGGAUGAGGAUGAUGACCUAUUUGGCACCGUUGGCCACUUUGGCUUCAGCGAACUCAAUGGGAUGGCCAAGAAGAGACCCUUGUGUUAGGAAUUCUUCCAAGUCUCCAAUACCUCAUGGUAAGAUGUGCCUUUCAGCUUUUGCCAUGAUCAUGAGGCCUCCCCAGCCAUGUGGAACUAUAUACAUUCUCAUAUUGACAAUUAUUACCAUGAAUCAAAGCAUCAAAAAUAAGGCAAUCGCAAGAUGUCCUUCACAUAUAAACAAUCAUGUUGUAAGAAUAAGAAACUUGAAUCCCUGUACAACAAAAAGAUUAGGAAGCAAAAUGUGAAUAAGCUUGUAUUCAGAAUAUAACCAUAUGUGGGUACAAAGACAACACACUCAUGUUACACCUCACUUAGGUUCCUUUAUGAUGCAUAAUGCCUGAAUCAUUCAUUUGUGAAACAAGAAUGAAUGUCAAGAAACAUGAAAUCCAAAUUGCAUUUAUUUUCACAAUAUCAAUGCUAAACUCAAAAUAGUAACUUCACUAACUCUCAAUGGUAAAUUUCAAACCUGAAAAGCAAUCUUAAUUCUUUUAACCCUAUGAAUAGGGUCUGCAAAAAAAGAUAGAUUAUUUUACUCUACUUACAAAGAGGCUGGGUCUCAGCCUGCACUUUAGCAUGAGCAACAAAGGACAGGAAAAAAACAUCAUUAAGAGUAAUGCCCAUACAUAUAAAAAUAUCUAGUUGAGCCAUGUUCCUUCUAUUUACAUAGCAAGCCAAUUAAACCACUAAAAUAGAUUUCUUACCUUCCUUCCUUGCUUCCUUCUCUUCUUCUUUUCCCUCCCUCCCCCCAGCCCCUUUUUCUUUUUUUUCUCUCUCUUGCUCUGCUAUCCAGGCUGGAGUGCACUGGUGCGGUCCUGGUUCACUGCAGCCUUGCUUGAUCUUCCAGGUCAAGCGAUCCUCCCACGUUAGCCUCCUGAGUAGCUGGGACUUCAGACACGAGGCAACAUUUUCGGCUAAUUUCUAAAUGUUCUUGUAAACACAAGAUUCGCUAUGGUACCCAGGCUGGUCUCAAACUCCUGGGCUCAAGUGAGCUGUCCACUUCAGCAUCUCAAAGUGGUGAGAUUAUAGGCAACAGCCACUGUGCCUGGUCCCUUUUCUAAGAAACUUUAAUGCAACAGGCAUUCUUAAGCAUUAGUGGUGCAGAAAAUAAACGAAAGCAUUGGCUAUUUUAAAGCUGUG
rnacentral:lncRNA from 1 species